UACAGAGGGUGCGAGCGUUGUCCGGAAUCACUGGGCGUAAAGGGCGCGUAGGUGGCCGAGUAAGCGUGUGGUGAAAGCCCGGGGCUCAACCCCGGGUCGGCCAUGCGAACUGCUUGGCUUGAGCAUAGUAGAGGCAAGUGGAAUUCCGGGUGUAGCGGUGGAAUGCGUAGAGAUCCGGAAGAACACCGGUGGCGAAGGCGGCUUGCUGGGCUAUUGCUGACACUGAGGCGCGACAGCGUGGGGAGCAAACAGG
rnacentral:rRNA from 1 species